rnacentral:rRNA from 1 species
CGGACGGGUGAGUAAUGUCUGGGAAACUGCCUGAUGGAGGGGGAUAACUACUGGAAACGGUAGCUAAUACCGCAUAACGUCGCAAGACCAAAGAGGGGGAUCUUAGGGCCUCUUGCCAUCGGAUGUACCCAGAUGGGAUUAGCUAGUAGGUGGGGUAACGGCUCACCUAGGCGACGAUCCCUAGCUGGUCUGAGAGGAUGACCAGCCACACUGGAACUGAGACACGGUCCAG